AUGAACAAGUACAGAGAUAGCAUCGACAUCCUUGACUCACUUAACUAUGUAAACUAUGCCGAUUUGUCUUGGAGUAAACACCAUGUGCAUCAAGCAGAAUUGAAGAGAAGGAUGUCGGUGCUGAUGAACAAGUACCACCAACUAAAAGACAAGAACGAACCAGAUUGGGCAAGGAUAGCAGAAAGGCCUCACAGGAUCUGCACACCAAAGCAAGAAGGAACACAAUGCGGACACUUCACGGCCCAAUUUGCAAAAUACUGGAAUGGGAAAGACCUAGUCAAGGACAAAGAGGGUUUUCAUCACAGCAAGGUGGAUGCAGAAUGGAAACCAGAGUACGUAUACACACUCAUAUUCGGUAAAACCAACCAAAUAAAGCACCAUCAACUUCCUGAAAAAAUCAAAGUUUUCAAACCAGAGACUACAAACCUUUUUUCGCCCAUGAAAGAGCGAGACGAAAAGAACCAGGAUCAAUCAAUGAGCACCAACAAAUACCCGCAACACCGGAUUUGUUCAUACACGUGCGUAAGGCAAACGAGCUCUACGACAUAG
rnacentral:rRNA from 1 species